CCCUUAGAUGUUCUGGGCCGCACGCGCGCUACACUGAUGCAUUCAACGAGUCCAACCUUGACCGAGAGGUCCGGGUAAUCUUUGAAACUGCAUCGUGAUGGGGCUAGAUUAUUGCAAUUAUUAAUCUUCAACGAGGAAUGCCUAGUAAGCGUGAUUCAUCAAAUCGCGUUGAUUACGUCCCUGCCCUUUGUACACACCGCCCGCCGCUCCUACCGAUUGAGUGUGUUGGUGAGGAGUUUGGAUUGGCCUCGGAAGGUGGUUCGCCACCGUCCGUAGCUGAGAAGUUCUCCAAACCGCCCCACUUAGAGGAAGGAGAAGUCGUAACA
rnacentral:rRNA from 1 species